GUGAGGAAUCUUCCACAAUGGGCGAAAGCCUGAUGGAGCAACGCCGCGUGCAGGAUGAAGGCCUUCGGGUCGUAAACUGCUUUUAUUUGUGAAGAAUAUGACGGUAACAAAUGAAUAAGGAUCGGCUAACUACGUGCCAGCAGCCGCGGUCAUACGUAGGAUCCAAGCGUUAUCCGGAGUGACUGGGCGUAAAGAGUUGCGUAGGUGGUUUGUAAAGCGAAUAGUGAAAUCUGGCGGCUCAACCGUACAGGCUAUUAUUCGAACUCACAAACUCGAGAAUGGUAGAGGUAACUGGAAUUUCUUGUGUAGGAGUGAAAUCCGUAGAUAUAAGAAGGAACACCAAUGGCGUAGGCAGGUUACUGGGCCAUUUCUGACGCUAAGGCACGAAAGCGUGGGGAGCGAACCGGAUUAGAUACCCUGGUAGUCC
rnacentral:rRNA from 1 species